ensembl:miRNA
UCAGCCUGUGUUACUCAAACUAUGGGGGCAAUUUUUGUUCUUGAAUAAAGUGCCGCCAGGUUUUGAGCACUGUUGGUUGA